ensembl:lncRNA
AGAGGGAGCAUACUUAAAUUCACACAGGACACCGGAUAAGACAGGAGAAAUACUCCAGAUAUAACAGACUGACCCUAGCCCCCUGACACAAACUAUUGGAGCAAAGAUACUGGAGGCUGAGACAGGAGGGCUAGGGAGACACUGGACGUGCAGUAGGAGAUGGUAGCCACCUGCAUGUGCAGUAGGAGAUGGUAUCCAGUUGGAUGUGCAGUAUGAGAUGGUAUCCUGCAUGUGCAGUAGGAGAUGGUAUCCAGAUGGAUGUACAGCAAGAGAUGGUAGCCAGCUGGAUGUGCAGUAGGAGAUGGUAGCCAGCUGGAUGUGCAGUAGGGGAUGGUAGCCACCUGGCUCUGCAGUAGGAGAUGGUAGCCACCUGGCUCUGCAGUAGGAGAUGGUAGCCACCUGGCUCUGCAGUAGGAGAUGGUAGCCACCUGGCUCUGCAGUAGGAGAAGGUAGCCACCUGGCUCUGCAGUAAGAGAAGGUAGCCACCUGGCUCUGCAGUAAGAGAAGGUAGCCACCUGGCUCUGCAGUAGGAGAAGGUAGCCACCUGGAUAUGCAGUAGGAGAUGGUAGCCAUGUGGAUGUGCAGUAGGAGAUGUUAGCCAGCUGGAUGUGCAGUAAGAGAUGGUAUCCUGGAUGUGCAGUAGGAGUUGGUAUCCUGGAUGUGCAGUAGGAGAUGGUAGCCACCUGGAUGUGCAGUAGGGGUGGUAUCCUGGAUGUGCAGUAGGAGAUGGUAUCCUGGAUGUGCAGUAGAAGAUGGUAGCCAUCUGGCUCUGAAGUAGGAGAAUGUAGCCACAUGGAUGUGCAGUAGGAGAUGGUAGCCAGCUGGAUGUGCAGCAGAGGAUGGUAGCCAGCAGGAUGUGCAGUAGGAGGUGGUAGCCACCUGGCUCUGCAGUAGGAGAUGGUAGCCAGCUGGAUGUGCAGUAUGAGGUGGUAGCCAGAUGGAUGUGCAGUAGAAGAGGGUAGCCAGAUGGAUGUGCAGUAUGAGGUGGUAGCCAGAUGGAUGUGCAGUAGGAGAUGGUAGCCAGAUGGAUGUGCAGUAGGAGGUGGUAGUCAGAUUGAUGUGCAGUAGGAGAUAGUAGCCAGAUGGAUGUGCAGUAGGAGAUGGUAGCCAGAUGGAUGUGCAGUAGGUGGUGGUAGCCAGAUGGAUGUGCAGUAUGAGGUGGUAGCCAGAUGGGUGUGCAGUAUGAGGUGGUAGCCAAAUGGGUGUGCAGUAUGAGGUGGUAGCCAGCUGGAUGUGCAGUAGGAGGUGGUGGCCAGCUGGAUGUGCAGUAGGAGGUGGUAGCCAGAUGGAUGUGCAGUAGGAGUUGGUAGCCAGAUGGAUGUGCAGUAGGAGGUGGUAGCCAGAUGGAUGUGCAGUAGGAGGUGGUAGCCAGAUGGAUGUGCAGUAGAAGAUGGUAGCCAGAUGAAUGUGCAGUAGAAGAUGGUAGCCAGAUGAAUGUGCAGUAGGUGGUAGCCAGAUGGGUGUGCAGUAGAAGAUGGUAGCCAGAUGGAUGUGCAGUAGGAGUUGGUAGCCAGAUGGGUGUGCAGUAGGAGAUGGUAGCCAGAUGGAUGUGCAGUAAGUGGUAGCCAGAUGGGUGUGCAGUAGGAGACGGUAGCCAGAUGGAUGUGCAGUAGGAGAGCUG